rnacentral:rRNA from 1 species
AUUGAACGCUGGCGGCAUGCUUUACACAUGCAAGUCGGACGAGUGGCGAACGGGUGAGUAACAUAUCGGAACGUACCUAGUAAUUGGGGAUAACUAAUCGAAAGAUUAGCUAAUACCGUAUAUUAUUCGCGCGGCCGAUAUCUGAUUAGCUGGUUGGUGGGGUAAAGGCCUACCACGGCGACGAUCAGUAGCGGGUCUGAGAGGAUGAUACGCCACACGGGGACUGAGACACGGCCCAGGCUCCUACGGGAGGCAGCAGUGGGGAAUUUUAGACAAUGGGCGCAAGCCUGAUCCAGCCAUGCCGCGUGUGUGAAGAAGGCCUUCGGAUUGUAAAGGACUUUCAGUCGGGAGGCGUUACCGACAGAAGAAGCACCGGCUAACUCCGUGCCAGCAGCCGCGGUAAUUC